rnacentral:piRNA from 2 species
UUAAAUGGGAGACGGAGCGAGCACGGCAA